UAUCACGUCCUCCACAGGAGCUUCCGGAU
rnacentral:piRNA from 1 species